GGCAGUUGGGGCGUCUCCUCCUCAGUUUCUCACAGACCGCCGUCAUGGGCAAUCUGCAAGUUGACAAGUCCCUUCUCCCCAACCUGAUAAAUGAUCUCACUGCAAUGGAACCUUGCUGACAGCCGCUGCACAGAAUCUUGCCAUUCUACCAGUAAUCUCUACAUGAUGGUCCAUUAAGAAAUAAGCCACAUAGAAGUCAUCUGAAUGACUCGGGCACUUUUUAAAGUAA